rnacentral:rRNA from 1 species
AGUGAACGCUGGCGGUAGGCCUAACACAUGCAAGUCGAACGGCAGCACAGUAAGAGCUUGCUCUUACGGGUGGCGAGUGGCGGACGGGUGAGGAAUACAUCGGAAUCUACUUUUUCGUGGGGGAUAACGUAGGGAAACUUACGCUAAUACCGCAUACGACCUACGGGUGAAAGCAGGGGAUCUUCGGACCUUGCGCGAUUGAAUGAGCCGAUGUCGGAUUAGCUAGUUGGCGGGGUAAAGGCCCACCAAGGCGACGAUCCGUAGCUGGGCUGAGAGGAUGAUCAGCCACACUGGAACUGGGACACGGUCCAGACUCCUACGGGAGGCAGCAGUGGGGAAUAUUGGACAAUGGGCGCAAGCCUGAUCCAACCAUACCGCGUGGGUGAAGAAGGCCUUCGGGUUGUAAAGCCCUUUUGUUGGGAAAGAAAAGCAGCAGGUUAAUACCCCGCUGUUCUGACGGUACCCAAAGAAUAAGCACCGGCUAACUUCGUG